GUUGGGAUAGCUCAGUG
rnacentral:tRNA from 1 species